rnacentral:snRNA from 1 species
AGGCUUACCUGGCAGAGGGAGAUACCAUGAUUUCAGAGGUAGUUUUUCCAGGGUGGGGCUUACCAUUACACUCCAGAUGGGUUGAGCCCUGCGUUUUCCCCGACUGUGGGAAACUCAACUGUAUAAUUUAUGGUAGUAAGAGGCUGCAUUCGUGUGCCCCCCUA